AUGGUGAAGUUCCUGAAGCCGGGCAAGGCGGUGAUCCUUCUCCAGGGUCGGUUCGCCGGCCGGAAGGCGGUCAUUGUGCGCGUUUUCGAGGAGGGCACGCGCGACCGCCCCUACGGCCACUGCCUCGUCGCCGGCCUAGCCAAGUACCCCAAGAAGGUGAUCCGUAAGGACUCGGCCAAGAAGACGGCGAAGAAGUCGCGCGUGAAGUGCUUCCUGAAGCUGGUCAACUUCACCCACAUCAUGCCCACCCGCUACACCCUGGAUGUCGACUUCAAGGACGUGGCCUCCGGCGGGCCCGACGCCCUCGCCACCCGCGACAAGAAGGUCGCCUCCUGCAAGGCCGCCAAGGCACGUCUCGAGGAGAGGUUCAAGACCGGCAAGAACAGGUGGUUCUUCACCAAGCUCCGCUUCUAG
rnacentral:rRNA from 1 species